rnacentral:rRNA from 1 species
CCUACGGGUGGCAGCAGUGAGGAAUAUUGGUCAAUGGGCGGGAGCCUGACCCAGCAAAGCCGCGUGAGGGAAGAAGGUACAGCGUAUCGUAAACCUCUUUUGUCAGGGAACACAGGCGGGGACUAGUCCCCGGAUGAGGGUACCUGAAGAAAAAGCAUCGGCUAACUCCGUGCCAGCAGCCGCGGUAAUACGGGGGAUGCGAGCGUUAUCCGGAUUUAUUGGGUUUAAGGGGUGCGCAGGCGGCCUGUUAAGUCAGCGGGAAAAGCCCGGGGCUCAACCCCGGCGAGCCGUUGAAACUGGCGGGCUGGAGUUGGAGAGAGGAACGCGGAAUGCGCGGUGUAGCGGUGAAAUGCUGAGAUAUCGCGCAGAACCCCGAUGGCGAAGGCAGCGUACCGGCUCCACACUGACGCUGAGGCACGAAAGCGUGGGGAUCGAACAGGAUUAGAUACCCGAGUAGUC